GGCGUGCUAAUACAUGCAAGUUGAACGCUUCUUUCUUAUCGAACUUCGGUUCACCAAGAAAGAAGAGUAGCGAACGGGUGAGUAACACGUGGGUAACCUGCCCAUCAGCGGGGGAUAACACUUGGAAACAGGUGCUAAUACCGCAUAAUACUUUUUCUCUCAUGAGUGAAAGUUGAAAGGCGCUUUUGCGUCACUGAUGGAUGGACCCGCGGUGCAUUAGCUAGUUGGUAGGGUAACGGCCUACCAAGGCAACGAUGCAUAGCCGACCUGAGAGGGUGAUCGGCCACACUGGGACUGAGACACGGCCCAGACUCCUACGGGAGGCAGCAGUAGGGAAUCUUCGGCAAUGGACGAAAGUCUGACCGAGCAACGCCGCGUGAGUGAAGAAGGUUUUCGGAUCGUAAAACUCUGUUGUUAGAGAAGAACAAGGAUGAGAAGAGAAUGUUCAUCCCUUGACGGUAUCUAACCAGAAAGCCACGGCUAACUACGUGCCAGCAGCCGCGGUAAUACGUAGGUGGCAAGCGUUGUCCGGAUUUAUUGGGCGUAAAGCGAGCGCAGGCGGUUCUUUAAGUCUGAUGUGAAAGCCCCCGGCUCAACCGGGGAGGGUCAUUGGAAACUGGGGAACUUGAGUGCAGAAGAGGAGAGUGGAAUUCCAUGUGUAGCGGUGAAAUGCGUAGAUAUAUGGAGGAACACCAGUGGCGAAGGCGGCUCUCUGGUCUGUAACUGACGCUGAGGCUCGAAAGC
rnacentral:rRNA from 1 species